rnacentral:rRNA from 1 species
UACGUAGGGUGCAAGCGUUAAUCGGAAUUACUGGGCGUAAAGCGUGCGCAGGCGGUGAUGUAAGACCGAUGUGAAAUCCCCGGGCUUAACCUGGGAACUGCAUUGGUGACUGCAUUGCUAGAGUAUGGCAGAGGGGGGGUGGAAUUCCACGUGUAGCAGUGAAAUGCGUAGAGAUGUGGAGGAACACCGAUGGCGAAGGCAGCCCCCCUGGGCCA